rnacentral:rRNA from 1 species
UACGUAGGGGGCAAGCGUUGUCCGGAAUCAUUGGGCGUAAAGAGCGCGUAGGCGGUCCGGUAAGUCCGCUCUGAAAGUCCGGGGCUCAACCCCGGAAGGCGGGCGGAUACUGUCGGGCUAGAGUCCGGAAGAGGCGAGUGGAAUUCCUGGUGUAGCGGUGAAAUGCGCAGAUAUCAGGAAGAACACCCGUGGCGAAAGCGGCUCUCUGGAACGGUACUGACGCUGAGACGCGAAAGCGUGGGGAGCGAACAGG